GUGCUUGCUUCAGCCCACAUAUACUAAGAUUGGAAUGAUGCAGAGAUUAGUAUGGCCCCUAUACAAGGAUAGCACGCAAAUUGAUGAAGCAUUCCUUAUUUUU